UACGUAGGUGGCGAGCGUUGUCCGGAAUUAUUGGGCGUAAAGGAUGCGUAGGUGGUAGUUUAAGUGGGAUGUGAAAUCCCUGGGCUUAACCCAGGAACUGCAUUCCAAACUGGACUACUAGAGUGCAGGAGAGGAAAGUGGAAUUCCUAGUGUAGCGGUGAAAUGCGUAGAGAUUAGGAGGAACACCAGUGGCGAAGGCGACUUUCUGGACUGUAACUGACACUGAGGCAUGAAAGCGUGGGGAGCAAACAGGAUUAGAUACCCUGGUAGUCCACGCCGUAAACGAUGAGUACUAGGUGUAGGGAGUCAAAUCUCUGUGCCGCAGUUAACACAUUAAGUACUCCGCCUGGGAAGUACGAUCGCAAGAUUAAA
rnacentral:rRNA from 1 species